UCCGGUUUGUCACCGGCAGUCUCAUUAGAGUGCCCUUUCGUAGCAACUAAUGACAAGGGUUGCGCUCGUUGCGGGACUUAACCCAACAUCUCACGACACGAGCUGACGACAGCCAUGCAGCACCUGGACACCCGGAUCCCUUGCGGGCACAUCUCCAUCUCUGGAGACUUCCGGGGGGUUCCAACCCAGGUAAGGUUCUUCGCGUUGCGUCGAAUUAAACCACAUGCUCCACCGCUUGUGCGGGCCCCCGUCAAUUCCUUUGAGUUUCAGUCUUGCGACCGUACUCCCCAGGCGGGGCACUUAAUGCGUUAGCUUCGGCACGGAAGGAGUCGACACCUCCCACACCUAGUGCCCAUCGUUUACGGCGUGGACUAC
rnacentral:misc_RNA from 1 species